rnacentral:rRNA from 1 species
UACAGAGGCCCCAAGCGUUACUGAGAAUCACUGGGUUUAAAGGGUGCGUAGGUGGUCCGUUAAGUCUAUUGUGAAAUCCCCGGGCUCAACCCGGGAACUGCUUUAGAUACUGGCGGACUUGAGGUCGGUAGGGGUCACUGGAACAGACGGUGGAGCGGUGAAAUGCGUAGAUAUCGUCUGGAACGCCGGUGGUGAAGACGGGUGACUUGGCCGAUUCUGACACUGAGGCACGAAAGCGUGGGGAGCGAACAGG